rnacentral:lncRNA from 1 species
GAGCUUUAAUCUUCAAAUGUGCACUCCACUUUUACAUAAUCCCAUAUCAACAUUCCCACAAAUAUUCAAAAAGUGAAAAAAAGUGAAAAGCAAAUAAGCACACAGACACAUUUUUUUAAAAAAAAGUUAAAACUUAAACUAAAAAAUGUUAAGAAUGAAGAUUAAAUGGUAAACAUUUACAGGCCCCGGGUGCCGCCAUACGCCCUACAUUAGUUAAGAGUGGACUUUGCCCUCAGUCAUGCGUCAGCAGCCUUACACAACGAUGACAGUGACGUCCAAGUGUGAAUGAGUUUGUGUGUGUGUGUGUGUGGACAGACCAGUUUGCAGGCAAAUUAUUGACUGAUAAAGCCACUCCAGGCCAAACAAUAUUAAUAAAUCCAAUUUAGCAGAGCGGGUUUUUAUUGCACAAGAGGAGCAUUGAUUUUUCUCUUUGAUGUCCAAUCUUAUCAAUUAAAAUUGAAGCAGAAAUAGAACACUGUGUUAUUAGAUAGGUUACUGAAGGUCAGCCUGUUGGCUAAGUGAUGAUUACUCUCUACUGGGGCUAAAGGUGUUGAUCAUGGUUUAGGGUUUCUUCUAGGAUCCCUUUACAAAGCAUACUGAAUGCCUCACAGAUCCAGGGGGUUAGUGUAGGUGACCUCUGACCCCUUGCUGCCUAGGAAAGUAAGAAAGUGAGUGGAGAAUUUAAGCUGCAAACAUUUUCAUUGUAAGAGCAUCGUAGGAGUGCUUUCUCACUUGGGCAGUGAACCUUUCAAAGAUUUGCACUUGUCCUUUUAAAAUUCGAUUUUGGUCUUGAAGUGAGUUUUGAAAUCCAGAGAAUCAAGUCUGAAACACUCUCAAAAGAGCUACUGUCAGAUUUUUUUAUUAUUAUUAUUAUCACUGCAGCCCAUCAGGGUUCCACAUAAUUAUAAAAUCCUGAUAAGAUCUUUGUGAAGCUGUUAUUUCUUUAUCCAAUGUGGUAAUCAACACAGAUCCUACAUGUGUUAUAGUUGAGAAAACACACUCUUUUAGCCACUAUCGUGUUUAUAUCAUCUGUGCUGCAGACCCCGUGUUCAAUUUAGUGCUGUUACGGCUCUCACCAUGGUCUUUGUCUCUAUGGUUUAAUGCUCUCAGCUUUUGGAGAAGGUUUUAAAAUGCACUCACUGCUAUGAGACCAUAACAAAAGCAUUAAAAUCAUUUCAACCACAGUGUUUGAUCGAGGUAAAAUGUGAUUCCACUACUGAUUGUUUCUAAUCAAGUGUAACUCACUCACGUGUUCACUGGAGACUGUUUUUACUGGGUAAGAAUUGGUCAAAUGCGCCUAGAUGUGCUUGAAAGCGACAUUCAUACAUUGCCAUCUAGUGACCAUAAUAUGAACUAAUAAAUUAAUCCAGUCCCAUUGUCUUCGGCCAAACAUACUUUACACACACUAUACAAGAGUUUGCUUACAACCUAAAAAAUGAAGCAAAAAACAAGGUUAAGGCAGAAAAAAAGAUUAAAAACAUAGAGAAAAUCAUACAACAUCAACUUAAUCAAACUUAAGUACCAAAUUUUGGAAAGGUGUACACAGUCUGCCAUCUGUCCCUCAACUAAACAUAGAAAAAUGGAUUUUCAAUGACUUAAAUGGUCUUGUUUAUUAAUGCUGCUGGACAUCAGCAGCCCACAAACAUGUUCAGCUGGCUUGAAAGAAAGAGGAUGAUGACAGAAUGAAGACAGAAUAAGGUCUGGUGUGUUCACAGAGUGGUCCAGUGGCCAGGACCUCCAAACCAGGUUGACUGUACUCCAUGGAGUGGUAACUCUGUGUGCCAGAGAUGAACUACUUUGGAGUGCCAUUAUAGAACAGAUCAGGAGGCAAAACUAUAAGGGCCCCUACUAAAUACUUAGACCCUUAAGUGGUCCCAAACCGUGCCCUGACUCAUGUAUGUUCAGACAUAGAAUGAGACAGACUCCUAACACAGAGCACUUUGAUCGUGAUUGGGAUCACGGCUGCCAGCCAGUCAAGUAGAAGAUCAACUCUGAAAAUUUAGAUUUUGAUGACAUGGAAGAUGAAGAGGUUAACCCAACACAUAUGAGACGUUCAGUAGAAGCUCCCCAGAAUCAAGAUUCUCCACAAUCAACGAGAAUAGUAUCCUGCCUCCUUGUAAUGUUAAACAACCUCAGAAGCUUGGGUAAGUUAUCGUAGACAAUCUCUGUUAGACAGGGGUAGCUGUGCCUCAGUGGGAGAGUUUGUUUUCUCUCAUUCAGAGUUUGGUGGUUUUACACCAGCUCCUUAUGCUGAAGUGUCCGUAGAAGAAAUGCUGGACCCCAUCUGCUCCUUCUGUCAAAACCAGCAGCAUAAAAGUAUCAAAAGUGAUGGUCACCGAGUAUCAUCUUUAAAAAUUGUCAUCAUUUUCUGUAUCAUCUUCUGCUAUCAGUGUAUAAAUGUAGUAGAAUGGGUGGAUUUGACAUAGUGGUUGAAAAGACUCCCACCAGACUGAAAAACACAAAAAUGGUACUGAGCAUUUAUCAUUUUUACCAUUUGUCAGGGUUAAUGUGUAGUGAGCAGGUGGUUAUGUGAAUUGGAGCCCUGACAGGGUGAGUAGGAUCCUACUGUAGUGCAAAGAAGUCUUGUCUCAUAAAUCACAGAUUCUGAAAAGUCUUCAAGCCCACAGAAACAAUAAGUUAACAGCUAGAGCUGAUAUAUUAGUCAGUAAGGAAUAAUAAGAAGAAACAGUAUUGACAAAGAUAUUUAUAUUUUUUGUUCCUUACAGAGAAAGAAGUCACCGGUGGAUUCUGACUCCAGACUGCUGAAGAUCAAAUGAAGAAGAUUCAAAGUUUUUAAGAUACUCCAGUAACAAAUAUUUGCCAAAUUCUGCCUCAACUCUUGCCUCACCCAAAUAGACAAGGUCAUGUCAUGUUGGCAAAAUCACAGCAGUAAGAUGCCGACUUCAGACUGAUGACUGUACGGACCUCCAACAGAUAAACCUAUUGAGAGACCCAACAGAAAGUCUGCCCCUCUGUUUAGAGCUGCUGAGUGGUGAUUACUGGUGAGUUUUUCAUCACAGAUUAAUUAUUCGGCUCCAAAAAGAUUCAAAACUGAUAAUUGUUGUGGAUACUUCUAGGGUCAUCAUCAAAAACAUCGUCUUUGCACUAAAGACAGUUCUACAUACCUUAUCUGUUGUUGCAUCAGUGAACCAAAGCACUUACAUUGGUCAUCUUUUAUAACUUCUGUCUGUUAUAGUUUAAACCAAAAUGCAAACAUACAGUAAAAUUCACUAAAUAUAUCAUCUCUCACACAGGAAGAAGAUAAAUGAGCUCAAGAUCAUCCGAGCUCGAGCACAGCACCACCAGGAGGAACUGCUUGAUGAGGUGUGUUCUAAGGUGGUGCACGAUAUACAGAAGUUUCUCUUGUCUUUGUAUUCUUUUAUCUAUAAGUGUGCACAUUUACGUAUACCUGCCCACCCCAAAGAAGACAUGGAGAAGACAGGCCAAGCUCUGCUCUUCAAGAGUACACAAGCAAGGGCCACCGCAUUUCUCCUGCAGCAGGUCGAUAAGGUGCUGGAACUGAGCUGCAGUCCAGGACCAGUACUGAGGGUUCUAGUGACUACAGGGCUGGGGUAUGUUCACAGAGACAAUAACAUCAUGACAAGAUCAGCAGUGGGAACAUUUCAAAUCAUUAUUCAAUCAUAAAAGGAGAAAAGUGACUGUGUUUGUCCUUGUCCUUUACAACCAGCUGCAUGCUGCAAUGAGGACCAGCACAGUGCAACAACUACACCUGCUGGCCGACCUACUGGGAGUGAGUGUAGUCUUCUCAGCUUUAAAAACCUCCAAUGAGACUUUUCCGGGUACAGUGAACAAGAUGGCUUUGGACUGUGAGUAUUCACACUAUGAAAUAAAUUUUCAAAUUACUUAUCAGACUACUAACUCAUCUGACAAUGUUCAGAUUUUAUUUUUGGCUCUAAAUUGUAUAUUGAAAUCAUAUCUCUCUUCAGUCCCCAUGGAAUGGUCAUCCUUGUAGAAGUAGCCCUUCAUAACGACUUUAUGGUAGAGAGUUGUCACCGCAAAGGGCCAACCUUAUCUGGAGAGGUUCCUGGCAAGCAUAAGGCAGUAGUAGAAGAGAAGGCCCUAAAGAAGAGGACUUGAACUGAUAACAUAAGAUAAGAAAAGCUUUAUUGAUCCCUGAGGGGAAAUUCAAUAAGAUAUAAUAAUAAGUAAUAAAAUAAAGUCCGAUAAAAAUCAUUAAAGAAAACUCAUCUCAUGCGCAGUGUGUAGUGAUGGAAAAAAUGAAUUAUUGUCAGUAAAUGAAAGGUUUUGCAAAUUGAUGAAAUCUUAUAUUUGACUGAAAAGUACACAGCCAAAAUUGCACUAUGAAAAUGAACUUUUUUUUUGUCUUGUGAAAAAUCGAUGCACAUAUCAGCGUGCUCUCAAAGCUCAGAGCACCAAAGGAACUUCUCCCUGCAAAUAAGGUGAUUGGUAAAAAUAAAAAUCCUUGCAAGUCAUAAAAUUUUUAGAUAAUGUUCCAGGGUAAAUCUUCAAGAGGAAUUGGCAACACAAAAUAAAGUUAAGAGUGUAGGACUAAAUAAGCGCAAGUGACAGCAAGGAAACAACUUGACCUGUCACCAUAUGAUCCAAAUGGAGGGUUAUGAAGUUAUCUAACAUAUUUUCCUUGGCUUUGGGCAGCUCCUCAUUAGUUUUUUCAAUCAUAGAGGUUAAGCUGAUUAAAUACAUUAGCUUCCUUAAAUGUUUGCUCCUGCAACACUCCUUGUAGGGACAGGAAAACUCCCCACAUGGUGGCGCUGUUGCACACUUAUAUUAAUCGUACUGCAUGGCAGUCACAGCAUCACUAGAUCAUUGUUUUUUAUCACAGCACAAAUACAACAACCUCAAACAUCAAACCAGCAGACCUCACUCUGCUUCAGAAAGACAAGGACAGAUGGCAUGACUUGUGUUAAAAUGCAAGUGUUGACAGUUUAGUGUCUCUCUGCAUCACUUGCACCCUCUGAAAUUUCAAGUCCAACAAAGAGAGGAACAGUUCACAACAACGACAAGAUCAAUAAAUAUCCAA